rnacentral:rRNA from 1 species
AAAGGGCCGCGGUAUACUGACCGUGCGAAGGUAGCAUAAUCAUUAGUCUUUUAAUUGAAGGCUUGUAUGAAUGGUUGGACAAAAAGCAAACUGUCUCAGUUGUAAUAAUUGAAUUUAACUUUUGAGUGAAAAGGCUUAAAUAAGUUAGGGGGACGAUAAGACCCUAUAAAGCUUGACAAUAAGUCGUUUAUAUUAUAAAUUGUUAGUAUAACUUGAUUUUAAAUGGUGUUUGUUGCGUUGGGGCGACGAGAAUAUAAAAGAUAACUGUUCUUAUAAUAUUUAAUAACAGAAAUAGCUGGAAAAUUAAUGAUCCUUUCUUUAAGAUCAUAAGAUUAAGUUACUUUAGGGAUAACAGCGUAAUCUUCCUUGAGAGUUCAUAUCGACAGGAAGGGUUGCGACCUCGAUGUUG